rnacentral:rRNA from 1 species
GACGAACGCUGGCGGCGUGCUUAACACAUGCAAGUCGAACGGAAAGGCCUUUUCGGAGGUACUCGAGUGGCGAACGGGUGAGUAACACGUGGGUGAUCUGCCCUGCACUCUGGGAUAAGCCUGGGAAACUGGGUCUAAUACCGGAUAGGACCGCACUUUAGUGUGUGUGGUGGAAAGUUUUUUCGGUGUAGGAUGAGCCCGCGGCCUAUCAGCUUGUUGGUGGGGUAAUGGCCUACCAAGGCGGCGACGGGUAGCCGCACUGAGAGGUUGGUCGGCCACAUUGGGACUGAGAUACGGCCCAGACUCCUACGGGAGGCAGCAGUGGGGAAUAUUGCACAAUGGGCGCAAGCCUGAUGCAGCGACGCCGCGUGGGGGAUGACGGCCUUCGGGUUGUAAACUCCUUUCGCCAGGGACGAAGCGUUUUGUGACGGUACCUGGAGAAGAAGCACCGGCUAACUACGUG